rnacentral:misc_RNA from 1 species
AAUUCUCAAACCACACUUGUUGUGGCUUGGAUAGUUGGGUGUUGCCUGCUUAAAGUAGGCUCUCCUUAAAUAUAUAAGUGGCAUUUUUAGAAACUUGUUAGGUGUUGUAAAUUAUUAAUACAUCUGAGUUUCUGAAUAUACUGCUUCUAACAAACCCUUUUUCUUUGAUGA